UCUUCCUCUUUCCUUAUGUCUUCUACACCUUUUGCAACCUGCACGUAACCUUUGUUUGCACGUCCUGUUCUUAGGCCACUUCGCUGGGAUGGGAUUUACAACAUCUUCCAGCUCUGCUGCUGCUUCUCCACCUGGAUGUUUUGGACAAGUCACUUGUGUAAGUUCAGUGUCCACACUUGUAAAAAGGAGGCAAAGACCCUCUUCUCUGUAAAGAUCCUGGAGAGGGACUGAGUAUCUCACUCCUGUCACUGUGACCUGCUCCUGGGUGAGGACACACCAUGGCCAUCAACCCUGUGGGACAGGCUCUGCUCCCAUGAGGAUCCCAGGAUAGAAGGACAGGAGCAACCAUCCAUCAAGGUACAUUGUCACCAGCCCGGCAGACAGCAAGCGCCAAGUGUGGAGAGGACAAGCUCUCACAAGUCCACAUUUUUCUGUGGAAUUGCCCUGGUUCCUGUUUCACGGGACAGCAGCCUGGCCUCGACUCGACAGAGCAGGACAGGGUAGCUUGAAAGGGGCUGUCGAGGGAAGAACAGCUGAGAGCUACAACGAUCCCAGUGUGUGUAUAAAUAGAGACGGGGCUGUUAUCCUGAUGAAAUGAGACCAGAUGUUUCUCCCAAAUCCCUGCUCUCUGCUAGUGAAAAUUAUAGUUUAGUUACAGCAGGGCGAAGCGGGCAGCAAAAUGUUUUAGACCUACUAAUGUUGGGAAGUCAAAGGGGAAAAAUGCCUCACUGGGGCGGGGGAUACAGUGCCCUGUGAUGCAGGGAUGGAUUGGGCACGGUCAGAGUGGGUGAGAGCUGGAGGAGCCCCUCGCUGCCUUUGUUCUAUUUUGCUGCUUCCUAUCCCGGCAUUAAUGGGCUGAGUUUAAAGCCCAUGCUGCGACUGCCUUUUGUGAGGUAGAAAUUCAGUGUCAGCACAUGUAUCCUGGAGGCAGUUGGCACGAGAUGAAGGAGGGAUGGCAGCAGCAGUUAAAACUGGGCCUUGGCUCUUUAAUAUUUAACUUUCCCCAGUGCUGGUGGUUUGUUUUUUUUUUUUUAAUCAGUUUGUGCAUUAUCUGCCAUCCCCGUUCAAAGAGGGUUUUAGCACAGAGAUUUCAGUGCUUAAUCCCAGGGGCAGGGAAAGCGGAAGAGUCUCUCUGAAGGUUCCAGGGCUCAAUCUGGCCUCAAUUACACCAGCCUAAAUCAGCAAAGAGUGGCCACGACUGACUUUGAUGUGACCACGUCGGACUGGAGGUAACAAAAUUAGGAGUAAGUCCCAUAUCUGUCCAGGAGACGCCUCUGGUCCCUAAGGCUCCAUCCAUAGGGAGUUCCCAGGAGGAUAUAAGCAUUGCCUGGCUGGCUCAGAAUAAACGUCCACCUUGGGCAACAACCAGUGCCUGGCUGUGGCCAGCUGCAGAUGCUUAGGAAGGGAUAUCGGAAGAGGGAGAGUAUAAAGUGAUCCUUCCUCCGGCAUAUCCUCCCGGCUCCUGGUAAUCAGCAGUUGAGGGACUUCCUAAGCCGGAGGUUGCAUGAAUUUGUGUAAUCCCUUUUGUUGUCUUUUUUUUUUUUUUUUAAUUAUUAUUAUUAUUCAUUUAUACUUUUGGCCUCCACGACAUCCUGUGGCAAUAAGUUCCACAAUGUAA